rnacentral:rRNA from 1 species
AGUGAACGCUGGCGGCGUGCCUAAUACAUGCAAGUCGAACGCGAAAGUCCUUCGGGAUGAGUAAAGUGGCGCACGGGUGAGUAAUACAUGGGAACAUGCCCUCGAAUGGGGAAUAACGUUUGGAAACGAACGCUAAUACCGCAUAAUCUCGCAAGAGUAAAGGUGGCGCCGCAAGGGCUACCGUUCGAGGAUUGGCCCAUGUCCCAUUAGCUAGUUGGCGGGGUAAUGGCCCACCAAGGCAACGAUGGGUAACUGGUCUGAGAGGAUGAUCAGUCACACUGGAACUGAGACACGGUCCAGACUCCUACGGGUGGCUG